rnacentral:tRNA from 17 species
GGGCGCGUAGCUCAGCGGGAGAGCACCUCGUUCACACCGAGGGGGUCACAGGUUCGAUCCCUGUCGCGCCCACCA